AAACCUAAAACACAGAACCACCAGUUGCCGAAAAACAUGCAGCUCUGGCGACCUUCCAUUGGAUUAGGAGAAAUAGAGUUCGAACCCAGCGGUGAACCCAGCUCCGAAACUCCCUGAAACUACACCACAUCAUUGGAAAGUUAGCUCGAAUUCGCAACCCAUAUCCAGUCGAGUGGAUCUGUUCAGGUCGUCGUGUCCAGUCGGUCGAGUUGUUCAUUUAUACGUUGUCCGAGUUCCGUCAAGUAUAUUUCUGCCUUCAUUUGGCUUGUUUGAGCUUUGCUUUGGGAGAUCGGGUAAGUUGUAGAAACAUUCUCGCUUAUUCUUUAUUCAAAUGAUCAAAAAUUGUGGUUUCCCUUUUAGCUUCUUCUAGAUUUGUUCCAGUUUUGAUCUCUAUUAUUCUAGUGUGUAAGAGAUGUGUAUUUCAUCUCAAAUUGGUUGUAAUUGUUGGAAAAAAUCGGAGUAAAAUUCCGGCGAAAUAGAGUUCGAACCCAGCGGUGAACCUAUCUUCAAAACUCCCUGAAACUACACCACAUCAGUGCGAAAGUCAGCUAAAAUUCGCUACCCAAAUCUAGUCGAGUGGAUCUAUUCAGGUCGCCGUUUCCGGUCCGUUGAGUUUUUCGUUGAUACGCUGUUCGAGUUCUGUCGAGUUUGUUUCUGCCUUCAUUUAGCUUGUUUGAGCUUUUCUUUGGGCGAUCAGGAAAGUUGUGGAAACGUUCUCGCUUAUGCUUUAUUGAAAUGAUAAAAAAUUGUUGUUUCCUCUUUAGCUUCUCGUAGAUUGGUUCCAGUUCUGAUCUCUGUUAUUCUAGUGUGUAAGAGAUGUGUAUUUCUUCUCAAAUUGGUUGAAAUUGUUUGAAAAUACUAGAGUACGAUAUCUAUUGAAAUUAGUUUAAUCCCGGUUUUCAGCUAUGAGUGCUUGUGUUGGUUAAUCUAAGCAUGUUUGAAUUAGUUUAAAUUUUACAGAUUUGCCGAACUUUUUUUUGCUUUAUGGAAAAUUUCUGUUGUUCAUAAGAUAUCUUUAGAGAAUGGAGGUGUUAGAACAUUGAUAAAGUUUAGUUUAUUCAAUUUUUGUAUUUCUUUUCCUUUGAACCAAGCUUUACAGAUCUAUCCAUGAACUUUGGUAUUUUUCAUUGCAUUUGAUUGGUUUUAAAUUGCCCUUUUAUAAGGUCAAAUAUUUGCAGGGAUCUCAAACCAAUAUGAUCUGACUCUUUGUUAAUUCUUGUCACGAUUAGGCAGUGAUGAUUAGUUAUAGUGCACCGUAAGGGAUUGAAAUGCUAAAACGAGAAAUAUGCAGCACUUUCAUAUUAUCCUUUGAUCGUUAAUUUUGGGUUGUUAACACGUGGACAUGAAUUGAGUUUUCAUUUUAUUUAGUUCUAUUGUUAAUCGAGGUGCCCCAUGAGUAAAUGAGAUCAAAUAGUGAUGGCACUCAUGAGUUAUCUGAAAUCUUUUGAUUAGAAUAAAUCGAGGGGUGCCACCUAGUUAAAUUUCUUGUUUAAUUAAUCUUGUUUUAAAUUCCUAGAAUUCAGGGCGUGCCACCUAGUUGAAUUUUCAUGUCCCUCGCGAAGUAGCAAACUCGUAGUUGUUUUAGACGCGUUGUUUAAUAAUUUACCUUCCUAAACUCGGGUGCGCAUUGUGUUAUCCAAAUCCAAAUCUCAACAAUGUUAAAUAAAAUGUGUCGUGGACCAAGAGUGCAUUUAUGUUACGUGGUUCAAGACGUAUUUUUGAUAACGUUGAGUUUUUAAAAAAAAAUAAAGAACAGAAGCGGUUAUAAAGUUAAAUUGCAUAUAGGUUUUAUAUGUUGUGAAUCAGAUAAUUGAGCCAAAUAUAACAGUUGAGCGACCAUGCUAGAAUCACGGAAAUCGGGAAUGCCUAACACCUUCUUCGUGCCAAACAAAAUGACAAUUGCAUGGCCCUCGUUUGAUUAAUCUUGUUUUGAUCCUUAGAGUUCAAGGUAUGCCACCUAGUUGAAUUUUCAUGGCCCUCGCGAAGUAGAAAACGCGUAGUUGCUUUAGGCACGUUAUUUUAAUAAUUUACCUUUCUAAACUCGUGUUCGCAUUUAUGUGACUCAAAUCCAAAUCUCAACAAUGUUAGAUAAAAUGUACUGUGGACCAUGGAUGUAUUUAUGUGAUGUUGUUCAAGACGUAUUUUUGAUAACAUUGAAUUUUUCUUAAAAAGUUAAUGAACAAAAGCGGUUAUAAAGUUAAAUUGCACAUAGGUUUUAAAUGUUGGGAAUCGGAUAAUUGAGCCAAAUAUAACAGUUGAGCGACCGUGCUAGAACCACGGAACCUGGGAAUGCCUGACACCUUCUCCUGGGUUAACAUAAUUCCUCACUUGGAUUUAUGUGUUCGCGGACUGUGGUACAGAGUUAAUCUUUUCCUCAAUUCGGGAUUUGAACCGGUGACUUGGGACACCCUAAAUAUUCCAAGUGGAGACUCUAAAUUUUUUUUAUAAGCGAAUAAUCAUGUUUCGAUUGUCACUUAAAUUGGAAAAACUCCCUUAUACCCUUCCAGGGGUGUAGUAAAAAGGAGGUGUGACAGGAAGGACAUGGUCCUUGAAAUAGAUGCGAGGUUGGCCAGGAAUGAGCUGAUUGAAUUUAUGGCCAGCACUGCUGUGAAGGAUGAAGUAGUCACCAGCCUGGUGAAAGAAGUGAAAGUGAAGUUUGAUGCACUCAAACUAGGUGAGAUUCUUGACAUACCUACUAAAGUGUAUGAUAAUUAUACAAGGCAUAGGUGGCCAUGUCUGGAUUCUCUUCCCACAACUAUUGAAAUCACUAGAAGGUUUUAUGAUUCUGAAGAUGUGCUUGAAGCCAGAUUUAUGCAAAAGAGUGAAAUGAGACCUGAGCGUAAGGUCUUGUUUGAAUUCGUCAACAAAUGCCUCUUGCCCAAACAUGAGAGAAGACACACUGCAAAUUACAUAGACCUGGUUCUUAUGGAGUGCUUGGUGAGAGGGAUGCAAAUCAACUGGCAUGCUUUCAUUGUCAAAGUACUAGAAAGGGUAAUCAAUGGCUCUAAGGAACAUGCUACUCUAGGUUCAUACUGACUACUGUGAUGGACAGGUUGAAUGCACCUUUGAAAAAAUGGGAAAUGGCAUCAAGCAAGGAACAUUUUGGCGUAGUUGAACCCGGUUCAUCUUUGAGGACACCCAUCAACAGCAAGGUUAGGGCUUUGUUUCAAGAAUGUGGAACUAAAAAUGAUGAAAUCGCUAGACUCAAGACAUGUAUGACCGAAUUGGAAACUAAGAGAGAUGACCUUAGAACUGAGCUAGCAAAAGAAAAGUAGAAAAGUGAUGGAAUGCUUUAGAAUAUGCUAAACCUUCUCCAAUCUCAUCUUUCUAGUUCCUCUAAGCCCUAGGUUUCCCAGCACUUGUCUUUUGAACCAGUCUAGUAACCUCCAGUGACACAGAUUUGGGAUGUUUCUAUUUUUUUUUUUGCUCAUAUUUUGGAAGUUUUUCUUUCUUUUUAUGGUCUGUUCGUGAAGGCAUAUCUCUAUCAAUGAAAAACUGUUGUUUUCUCUAGUUCAAUGAUGAUUCUGUUCCUAAUGGAUUAAAUAUGUUUAUUGAUUAUUAAUAAUUGCACAAUGUUUUCACUUUCAGUUGAUCCAGUGGCCAUGAGUACUUAUUAAGUUCUAGGAUUCACAAUGUAUGCAACUUUUCAAUGAUGUCAAAAGAGGGAAGAGAUAUUGUGCUUUACAUUAAUUUGAAUUAAGUGAUAUUUAUAACCUAAUUAACCUGGUCCUUGAUAAUAAGCCUAAGUAAAGUGUUAAUGGCUAAGCUGAGUUCUUACAGGUUCUUUGAUCAGUAAAAAGCACAAAGUUUGUCAUCAUCAAAAAGGGGGAAUUUAUUGGCCCAGAACAUGUGUAGUUUUGAAGAAUGACAAAUGAACUCAGACAUGGACCAAGUCCAUCAGGUGAAGCACAGUGUAUGCCAACCAAUACACAUGAGAUGCACAUGAGGAGAUAAGUCCCAUUGAUCAAGCAGCAAUAUCUCCUGAACUGAUCAAAAAUGUUACAUAUUUUUAUUUAUUUAUUUAUUUUAUUUUAUUUUUAGUCAUAAAGCCUUUCUUAGCUUUUUCCUUAUCCAUCGGAUAAAUAAUAACAGAACUCAAGCAUCAUCGUCUCUUUGCUUUGUCUAUAGUCACAACUCUAUUGGAAGGGGAAGGUUGUUACUUCAUUUCAUCUAAUUUUCUUAUCUUCGUUCAGAAGUAUUAGUUGGUGGCUAUCACGAAUGCAUAAACAAAAUACGUAUUACUCCUAUAAGGAUUCUGUUUACCACAAUUUUUUCUUUAAAAUAAUUCAUCUUUAAUUGAGUCUAUCAGAUGACAAACAUUUAUACAGUUUUCACUAUGUUGUCAGGAUCUAAUGUAGCAUCAACCCAAAAUGUUUCAUAUUGGAUAAGGAGGAAAAGUCUUCUUAUGAGAAGAGAACACAGAUCCGGAUAAAAGAUAGGGUUGGAGUUUGUGUUGUUCAAGGACUCAACAGUGAUAGAAGAUCGAAAAUUGAGUCUCAAUCAAACUCUAAUUACUAAAUCAUUAAAUAACAGCGUUCAUUUUGUUUUACAGGUAUUGCACAAAUGCAUAAGUGAAACUAAAUUGAGAGCAAAAAGGCGAGAAAAUUUUGCAAGCAAUUUAUGUGAGAUUUGAGUGUGCAUUCCUGAAGCUACUUGGACAAGAUAAAAUAACCAAUUCCAUUGUGUCUUUCUUUUACUCUAGGUCAAUUGUAGUAG
rnacentral:lncRNA from 1 species